rnacentral:rRNA from 1 species
GACAGAGGGGGCAAGCGUUGCUCGGAAUUACUGGGCGUAAAGGGCGCGUAGGCGGGAUGGCAAGUCGGUCGUGAAAUGCCUCGGCUCAACUGAGGAUCGUCGAUCGAUACUGCCGUUCUUGAGGAUUGCAGAGGAGACUGGAAUUUACGGUGUAGCGGUGAAAUGCGUAGAUAUCGUAAGGAAGACCAGUGGCGAAGGCGGGUCUCUGGACAGUUCCUGACGCUGAGGCACGAAGGCCAGGGGAGCAAACGGG